rnacentral:rRNA from 1 species
UGGGGAAUAUUGGACAAUGGGCGCAAGCCUGAUCCAGCCAUGCCGCGUGAGUGACGAAGGCCUUAGGGUUGUAAAGCUCUUUUGGCGGGGAAGAUAAUGACGGUACCCGCAGAAUAAGCUCCGGCUAACUUCGUGCCAGCAGCCGCGGUAAUACGAAGGGAGCUAGCGUUGUUCGGAAUCACUGGGCGUAAAGCGCACGUAGGCGGACUUGUCAGUCAGGGGUGAAAUCCCGGGGCUCAACCUCGGAACUGCCUCUGAUACAGCAAGUCUUGAGUCCGGAAGAGGUGGGUGGAAUUCCUAGUGUAGAGGUGAAAUUCGUAGAUAUUAGGAAGAACACCGGUGGCGAAGGCGGCCCACUGGUCCGGUACUGACGCUGAGGUGCGAAAGCGUGGGGAGCAAACA